AAUCAACGCUGGCGGCGUGCCUAACACAUGCAAGUCGAACGCGAAAGCCCCUUCGGGGGCAAGUAGAGUGGCGUCCGGGUGAGUAACACGUGGGUAAUCUACCUCCGGGUGGGGAAUAACUCGCCGAAAGGCGGGCUAAUACCGCAUAAUGCAGCGGCACCGAAUGGUGAUUAGUUGUUAAAGCGGGGGACCUUAGGGCCUCGCGUCUGGAGAGGAGCCUGCGGCAGAUUAGCUUGUUGGUAGGGAAUGGCCUACCAAGGCUGCGAUCUGUAGCUGGUCUGAGAGGACGGCCAGCCACACUGGCACUGACACACGGGCCAGACUCCUACGGGAGGCAGCAGUGGGGAAUUUUGGGCAAUGGGCGAAAGCCUGACCCAGCAACGCCGCGUGAAGGAGGAAAUCCUUCGGGAUGUAAACUUCACAAGCAAGGGAAGAGCGCGCAGGGUCGAAUAAACUCUGCGUCCGACGGUACCUUGCGUAAGCCACGGCUAACUACGUGCCAGCCGCCGCCGU
rnacentral:rRNA from 1 species